UCUUGGUCAUUUAGAGGAAGUAAAAGUCGUAACAAGGUCUCCGUAGGUGAACCUGCGGAAGGAUCAUUAUCAAAACAGCGGACUUCGGUCCUUGCUGCACCCUUGUCUUUUGCGCACCGUAUUGUUUCCUCGGCGGGCUUGCCUGCCGGUUGGACAUUAUCAAAACCUUUUUGUAGUUGCAAUCAGCGUCAGAAAAACAAUAAUUAUUACAACUUUCAACAACGGAUCUCUUGGUUCUGGCAUCGAUGAAGAACGCAGCGAAAUGCGAAAAGUAGUGUGAAUUGCAGAAUUCAGUGAAUCAUCGAAUCUUUGAACGCACAUUGCGCCCCUUGGUAUUCCAUGGGGCAUGCCUGUUCGAGCGUCAUUUUGUACCCUCAAGCACAGCUUGGUGUUGGGCGUUUGUCCUGCAGAGGACUCGCCUGAAAGCGAUUGGCGGCCAACGUAGUCGUGGCAGAGCGCAGCACAAUCUCGCGUCUCUCCCCUCUGCGUCGGCGUCCAUGAAGCCUACAAUCUCAACGUUUGACCUCGGAUCAGGUAGGGAUACCCGCUGAACUUAAGCAUAUCAAUAAGCGGAGGAA
rnacentral:rRNA from 1 species